CGGAACACCGGCAGCACCUGUGAGACGAGUCAGACGACUGCCUUGAUGUUGUCGGAAAAGGUGAAUUUGAGAUGUAUAACAAACAAACAAUCAUCAUCACGUUUUAUGAAAUGAAUUACAAUCUUCAUAAAUCCAGGCUCAGUUUGCCACGUAACGUUUAGCCUAAAUAAUCAGACAGCUAGCUAGCUUGCAGACAAGCAGCCCGUUAUCACAUCGCAAACUAAGCUACAUGUCUGCUGAUAGUUAGUUUCUAACAUUUCGUUUUAACAAGAAGAAUAAAUGAUGGAAGUAAUGCAUCACAUGAAUUCUUUCAUUCAAAAUGGAUCAUGCCUAAAUCUUAUCACUAUUUUGGGUAUUGUUUGUUAUUGUUAAGUGAAGCCGAAAUGCCCAGUGAAAAGAGGAGGAUUCAGGAGAGAGAGAGACAACUGAAGGAGGCAGCAAAGAGGAGCACAUCACUACAGGGUUGGCUACGAAAAAUCCAAACAGCAGAUGAGGAGCAGCCACAAGCCUCCAGACACUCGGAAAAUGUGGACCAGGAGGAGGCACAUAGGGCAGGUCAGAGCAACUGCCCCUCAAAAUUCC